AGCUUUGUGCAGUGGCAGUAUCGUACCAAUGAGGUUUAUCCGAGGCGUGAUUAUUGCUAAUUGAAAGUAUCAUACUGUAAACCAGGCUGAGUGCAGUGGCUCACGCCUGUCUUCCCAACACUUUUGUGAUCAUUUGAGU